GGCUUGUGAUGGUGAAGCAUUGGG
rnacentral:siRNA from 1 species